rnacentral:rRNA from 1 species
CGUAGGCGGAUUUUUAAGUGGGAUGUGAAAUACCCGGGCUUAACCUGGGUGCUGCAUUCCAAACUGGAAGUCUAGAGUGCAGGAGAGGAAAGUGGAAUUCCUAGUGUAGCGGUGAAAUGCGUAGAGAUUAGGAAGAACACCAGUGGCGAAGGCGACUUUCUGGACUGUAACUGACGCUGAGGCUCGAAAGCGUGGGGAGCGAACA